rnacentral:lncRNA from 1 species
AGAGCACAGAAGGAAAGGCUCCCUCCCUCCUGCUCUCUCUCCCUUCCUCCUCCUCCUCCUCCUCCCCCUUCUCCCCCUUCUCCCCCUUCCCCUUCCCCUUCUCCUCCUCCUUCUCCUCCUUCUCCUCCUCCUUCUCCUCUUCUUUUUUUCUUUGGUACCAAGGAUCAAACUCGGGACCUUGUGCUUUCGAGGCAGCAGCGGUGCCACUGAGCUACAUCCCCGGGCCUGUUCUUUGAAUUCUUAACGUGAUCUCAGGGCAUUUGGAAAUAUUUUUCUUAAAUUGCCUCAGUCCGUACCUGAGCUCGUAUUACCAGGAAGGAUAUGAAAGGAAAACGCAUCUCAGGGCAGUUUCCUGGAAGCGGGGCGGUGGGGAAACCGCGAUUGCCAGGGUAGAUCAGCCUAGGAACGCUGAAAGUGCAAGAAGGUAUUUCCAAAAUUCCAUUCUUUCCAAAAGUUGGACAGAAGACUAAGAGACGAAACACAUCUGCCAGACUAGUGAAAUAGGCAUGUUACCGCCUGGAGGAGGCAGCCCCAGGCGCGAUGACCUCUGGAUGCCUGGUGCCUGGCCAAGCCUUUUUCUUUUCUGGCCUUGUGAAGCUCCUUGGGCAGCAGCAGCAGUUGACCUGGGCAGGUGAAGGUCAGAAGACCCACACUGCAGGGUAGCUGUUUGGGUGAAGCAGAGAAAGGCCCACACCUUCUGCUUGGGGAUGCAGAACUCCCUGUGGCUGCUCUUCAGGAGCAAAGAACUGCAGCCGAGAACAGUUUGCCUUCAUACCAAGAAGAGCGGGAGCCGGGGAGGGCAGGAGCUGGGAAGCCCUGGCCAAAGGGACUUACAGGGCCGUCUGGAAGAACGACCUCAGAAACCACGACCGAGUCACAGCCCCUGUGGCAGAGCAGCCGCCCUCGGGUUUGCACAGGCUGCUCACGAGCAGGAAGGAUCUGUCCUCUCUCCCACCGCCCUUGUGGAGGGACGAAGCCUCACAGAGUGGGAGUGGCUCGCCCGAGGUCUCACCCUGGAGCCCAGGCUGGCUUUGAACUCAAGGUGAUCCUCCUGCCUCUGCCUCUCCAGUGCUGAGAUUUAGGCAUGGAUCACCAUGCCCAGCGUUCAAAUUCUUAACACAGUGAGAAGUCUGCCACCUGUGCCUUGGGGGACACCCUGCUGCAGAGAAAGUGAAGCUGUGGGAGCGGUUUGCACAGAGCUUGGGAGCUUCUGGAGCAAAACCCAGCCUGCUUCUCUUGGGCGGAUCCAGCCAACAACAGGCGGGCGAGCAAGGACAGUUACCACCCCAGCCUUGAAGAGUGUACAAAGUCAGGCACCAGGGCGGGAAGAGGCUCGGCCCUCGGGGCCUCAUUCUGAGGGAGAGAUGCAAAAGAACCAGCCUCAGAGAGAUGCCCAGUCCUUGUCCUGACCCCUCAGCCAGCCAGGUGCACCCUCCAGGCGGGCCCUCCUGUGGGCAGUGGGGAGGAUCGGGGGAGCUGCAGAUAGAGGCUUCGGGGACUGGGCCUCCACGGUGCUGAGGAUGAGCCAGGCCUGGCACAGGGAGGCAAGGGCUCUUCCUCCAAGCCACACCCACCACCAGAGAACCAGGUUAAGGAUCCACUUAAAUGCAGACCAGAAGCAGGGGCAGGAGCAGACGUGUGUGCUGUGGGAACUGUGAGGGCAGAGCCCCAGGUAUGAGACAAGCAGGCUGCGGUAGAGUCCAGGGCCAGAAGCAUCCUGCCACGAUUCUCAGGGGUUCAAGAAUCAAUAAAAACAGCAACUGUAAUAAUCUCUUGUAUUUUGCCAAUGUUUACUAUAUGCAAAAUAUUUUCACUUAAUUAUCAUAUAGCGUAACUUUCCUUUUGAUAGAUUUAAUUUAUAUUUUCUCUAUGCUGCUCUU